GACGAACGCUGGCGGCGUGCUUAACACAUGCAAGUCGAACGAAAAGAGGGAAAGAGCUUGCUCUUUCCGGAAUUGAGUGGCAAACGGGUGAGUAACACGUAAACAACCUGCCUUCAGGAUGGGGACAACAGACGGAAACGACUGCUAAUACCGAAUAAGUUCCAAGGGCCGCAUGGCCCAUGGAAGAGAAGGUGGCCUCUACCUGUAAGCUAUCGCCUGAAGAGGGGUUUGCGUCUGAUUAGCUGGUUGGAGGGGUAACGGCCCACCAAGGCGACGAUCAGUAGCCGGUCUGAGAGGAUGAACGGCCACACUGGAACUGAGACACGGUCCAGACUCCUACGGGAUGCAGCAGUGGGGAAUCUUCCGCAAUGGGCGAAAGCCUGACGGAGCAACGCCGCGUGAGUGAUGACGGCCUUCGGGUUGUAAAACUCUGUGAUCCGGGACGAAAAGGCAGAGUGCGAAGAACAAACUGCAUUGACGGUACCGGAAAAGCAAGCCACGGCUAACUACGU
rnacentral:rRNA from 1 species